GUUUGUCUUCAGAUCUUCUAGAUGAGGCACAAAGACUGUUUGGAUCAGCCUGCAAGCUUGCUUAAGCCCUUAAAACUGAUUUCAAUGGAAAUGGUCUGACUAAGCAUCCUUUGAAUGCCAGGGUAUGGUGUUAGCUAAGAGGAUGUAGAACAUCCUGUCUGGAAGAUGUGAAAGAUGGCAUCUAAAGCAGAACUGCAGUACCAGAUAGCACUUUUUAUGGACUCUCGAAAAGAGACAUGGCUGGGGAAGAGUGUGUGAUGUGAGGUCAGGCCAAACCAAUGGGAAUUAUCUUGUAUCACAAAAGAAGGUGCUGAAAGGGUAAGGAGAGUAAAUGGCUUUAUAGGUUAAAUAAGCUUAAUGGCCUGCAUGAAAGCAAGCCAGUGAGAGGGUGAAAUGCCAAAGCAAGAUGAGACCAAAGUAAUGAUUUAUCCUGCUCUGCAAACCAUGGCUAUUAAAUGGGGAGAGGCUGGAAAUGCUGCUGGCUGGUCUGUAGUGAUGCUGCAUGACAAUGUCAGCAGGCAGUGUCAAAUCUCCUGAGUGCACGCUCCUGGGAGGAUAACGUAAAAUGCUGGCAACACCUUGGAAGAUGCCAAGGCAAUUUCUGGCAGAGGAAUGCUGCUGAGGAUCAUCCUGUCUGUUGGGUUCAAUUUCAACAGGCUUUUCCCUGAUGUGAAUGCCUCUGGAAAUCCUGCCUACCCCCAUGUUCCAGCUACCAAAGCCUCACCAGGGUUCAGAGUGCUCUCACCAACUGCGGUCUCACUGUGAUGGGUCCUGAUAAUGAAAAGCUGCUGAUGGCAACAGCUCUGUGCAUUGACCAGAAAGAGAAAUGUGUUUAGGAGCCUAGAAGAUUACAUAAAAAGACAGGGAUCUCUCAGUACCCCAAAUAACAAAGUUCUAAUUUAGGAAAGUGUUUAUAGAAGACAGCCUGGAGGGCAAAGUCCUUGGGGAAGAUGUCCAUUUUGUAAGAAUCUUCACAGAAGACUGGACAAAUGACUAGAGCAGGUAUUAAGAGUGCCAAUCUGGCAUUGCGUGUUGAUUGAUCGAUUCUCAGUGAAUUAUUUUUAUAAAUAAAUAAAUAAUAUAAAUAAGUAAUGAAUACA
rnacentral:lncRNA from 1 species